UACGUAGGGUGCGAGCGUUAAUCGGAAUUACUGGGCGUAAAGCGUGCGCAGGCGGUUUUGUAAGCCAGAUGUGAAGGCCCCGGGCUUAACCUGGGAAUGGCAUUUGGGACUGCAAGGCUUGAGUGCGGCAGAGGAGACUGGAAUUCCCGGUGUAGCAGUGAAAUGCGUAGAUAUCGGGAGGAAUACCGAUGGCGAAGGCAGGUCUCUGGGCUGACACUGACGCUCAUGCACGAAAUCGUGGGGAGCAAACAGG
rnacentral:rRNA from 1 species